UGAAGGGAGCUUGCUCCUGGAUUCAGCGGCGGACGGGUGAGUAAUGCCUAGGAAUCUGCCUGGUAGUGGGGGAUAACGUCCGGAAACGGGCGCUAAUACCGCAUACGUCCUGAGGGAGAAAGUGGGGGAUCUUCGGACCUCACGCUAUCAGAUGAGCCUAGGUCGGAUUAGCUAGUUGGUGGGGUAAAGGCCUACCAAGGCGACGAUCCGUAACUGGUCUGAGAGGAUGAUCAGUCACACUGGAACUGAGACACGGUCCAGACUCCUACGGGAGGCAGCAGUGGGGAAUAUUGGACAAUGGGCGAAAGCCUGAUCCAGCCAUGCCGCGUGUGUGAAGAAGGUCUUCGGAUUGUAAAGCACUUUAAGUUGGGAGGAAGGGCAGUAAGUUAAUACCUUGCUGUUUUGACGUUACCAACAGAAUAAGCACCGGCUAACUUCGUGCCAGCAGCCGCGGUAAUACGAAGGGUGCAAGCGUUAAUCGGAAUUACUGGGCGUAAAGCGCGCGUAGGUGGUUCAGCAAGUUGGAUGUG
rnacentral:rRNA from 1 species